GUACGUCCAGGGCCAGCCGGCGGGCCAGCGGCACCUUGUAGGCGUUGUCCCGCAGCGGUUCGGCGGCGGCCAGUUCCAGGUCGACGGCGUGCUC
rnacentral:tRNA from 3 species